AGGUAUGGAAGCCCAGAGCUCCAGGAUCACCACAGCUGCCCAAUCAUCCAGAAAGAGGUGUGGAGAGGGAAACAAGCAUGACGCGGACCGCCACGAGGUUUCUCCCUGAUGGACGGGGAAGUCUUCUUUGUGGAAGACACUGAGCCACACUAAGAAGCCGCCAGGCUUCUCAGAGACGGGGCAGACACAGCAAGAGGGAGGUCAGAGCAGAGGCCAGAGCCCAGGCAGGAUACGGGGGGGCCAUGCCACCACCACCGGCAUCCGGGGAGGAGUGUCAAACGGGUGACUCAGCCAGGAAGGCCAGCCUUUGAGAGACAGACAUGCUUGCCCCAUCCCCUUGCCGGCUUCCUUCUCCGUCCCUG
rnacentral:lncRNA from 1 species